GAUUUGAUGAGAUGUGUGCCAACAGUCAUUGACGACGCUCCACAUUCACAAAGUGAAGAAACUGAUUCAAGUUGAAGAUAGCAGUAGGGAUGAAAAUGGCAGAAGUAGAUUUCAUGUUUUCUCCAGUGGUGAUUUCCUCUGGUUGUAUAAUAUUGUUAAUGACAAGACAAGGAUGGACACCAGUUAAUUUUAACUCCUCAAGAAGUCAUGUGUAGAAGAAAAAAAGAAAAACAAUUUGUGUGAAUGAAAAAUGCCAUGACAUUAGGCUAGGUUUUCCACAUUCACAUGCCAUGUCAUGCAAUUAAAGAAAAAUGUGAGAAAAAGUUUGAUGAUCUACGGAAGAAGCCAAAUCAAAGGAGUGAGUAAAGGCUUGCCAAAGAAAUCAGAAAAAAUAAUAAUGUCCAAUAGCUGGGCAAGCUUAUGUGGCUUUGAAAAAAAAAAGACGUGACAUGUGACUUUGAAUAGGGUGGUGUGAAAGCAAAAGAAAAAUUUAACUCUCAGAUGCUGGCCUUACCAUUUACAUCAGACUUCUUUCACGGGGAUUUCGCAAUUAUUCCUCGUAGUACGAAUACAAGAUUCGACUAGAAAAUUUUCACACAAGCUGAAUUUAAAGGAUUGAACACGAUGUCAAUGCCCAUCAGAGAGCCGCCAUUCUCAAAAAGUUUAUACCAAGCCAUACAAACCAUACGAGCGUGCGUAAGGUAGAAAACGUCACUAGCUGGAGAAAAAUCUUCGACGGCAGUUCACCCUAAAAAAGAAGCAAAAUUAUUCGUCACCGAGAAAAUUGUAUCUGGAAGAUUCUACAUGGACAAAAGCCAUAUUCUCGUCUUCCCCUGGUUGAUGGAAAUUUUGAUCAUAUUCACAAUUUACUCAAAUUUACGGUGGACUUAAUGAAAAAGCUCCCAUUCUCCUCUGAUGAUUGGAGCUCUGGAUUGGAGAUCAAGUGCAAUUUUUUUGCUUGCUAUGCCCAAAAUAGUCACGAAAUUAACCCAUGUUGUGAAUUAUUAGUAACAGAUAUCGUUAUUUCAGAGGAGGAGAGCCUACCUCCUGCAGUACUAGGUGAAGUAUGAUUCGAUCUUGACUUUUUAUAUUAUACGAAUUAAAAUUAAAACAGCAUUCGUGCAUUUCCCAUUUAUUUCGAUAGCCAGCCAACUUAAAAAAUCCUUCAAUCUUGUAAAUGUUACGUAGCUUCGUGUCAUCUUCGCUGUCUGAAAGUAGUAAGUUUACAAACGCAUUAUUUCUUAAACAUUUUGAUUCGUUUUCAUUUGAAUUAUAUUCCCCGUACAUUUUAUGAGUGUUAAAGUUGAGUUUUUUCUGGAUAAUACUUUUUAUGUUUUUUCUGUCCAACUUAUACCCUUCACCUUCACGGGCUUCACAGAUAGCGUCCAACAGAUUGCUGCAUGAAUAAUCAUUCCAGCCCACCCUUCCGUUUCUGGAUAAGUUUGAUUAUGCAAUCUUCAGGGUCUCCUGAGUUUACUCGGUUCGGCGUCGGCCCAGUUAGCGUAUCAUGGAUACAGAUUUGAUCCCGUAGUCUCCCAAACCCACUUACCCUCAAUUAGUUCAUCAGAACCCGAGGUCCAAAAUGCAUCUUUGAAAUAAAUCGUAUGAACGUCAAUUUAAACGGAAGCGAGUGGCUCUUACUAUUUCGAAAAAUAUACAAUUUAACAGGUUUACACGAAACCGCCUGUACAAAUUCUUUAUUGGCCUUGAAUUUAACCUAAUCAUACUCACUUGAUGUACCCCAGACAGCCUGAAUGGCCAACUCUUCUUCGUAACUUUCAACCACAUACUUCUCUCCGCCAUUGUCCGUCCAUGAUCAUGAUGGCAAGUAGGCUACUGGCAUGUAGACAGUAGACUGCAUGUAGACCCCGAUAAUCCGAUAUCCGAAAAAACUGAAAUAUCGAUCUGCCACCUGGUGAAACAACGGAAUUUAACUUUUGUUAGGGCGGUUUUUCUGAAAUUUUUUUAUGUAAUACCAUUAUUUAUAGGUUCUUAAAGAUGUGUGAAAAAAGUUGAAAACAGUGCAAGAAAUAGAUUAAAAAUAUCAGAUAAUAAGUUAUUAACUCAUUUUAUUAAUCCACAAAUCAAGGUUGUUAUUGAUGCAAACGGAUGACAUCCCGUUACAAUACGACAAAUUUCGGAAAAGUUAAUGUAGACGCCAAAAAGGAAAACAAUUCAAUUCGCAAUUAGCAGUAUCGAAACGAACUAGUGCUUGUUGUUUUUAGACUUGAUCGUAAGAUCUGGCUUCAUUACGAGGUUAUUCGUUGGUGAUAAGUCGUGUACUUUAACGCUGUAUCCAAAGGAGAACUCGAGGCAGGACAUCAUAUUUUCGAACGUUAAUAAAAUGGAGCCAGGUUGUGGUAAAUUGGUUGGGCUGUAUCCCGUUCUUUUCAGAACACUGAAGAAUUCUGUUAACGUUAGAUGGAUGACGUCCAGUGAGUCGGCUGGAUUUAGGACCAACUGAUCGAAAAGCUCCUUCGUGGUCCCGAAUAGAUCAAACAGAUACAGCGAAGUGGCGAAAACUUUUUUACGAGUUAUACGCUUCCCUAUCCAAUCUUGAACAGCGAAUUUGUACAAAUUAUAGACGACGAACAUGUGUGGAUGGACACCACACAUCUUCGAAAUACGAAGACUGGCGAAAAACGCUUGAAAUUGGAACAUCAUCUCUCUGCGACAAAACAACUUCUUCAAAUCAUCAGUACUUUUGAAUUCCGUGACUUCAAAGCAAUUUUCUCCCAUUUACAUUGGGGUAAUGUAAUCUUCAGAAUGGCACUGUCUUCUCGCAAAUGCGUGGCUUUAUACCAGCUACUCCAGCCAUGUUUUUGAACACUGGUGG